GACGAACGCUGGCGGCGUGCUUAACACAUGCAAGUCGAACGGAAAGGCCCUGCUUUUGUGGGGUGCUCGAGUGGCGAACGGGUGAGUAACACGUGAGUAACCUGCCCUUGACUUUGGGAUAACUUCAGGAAACUGGGGCUAAUACCGGAUAGGAGCUCCUGCUGCAUGGUGGGGGUUGGAAAGUUUCGGCGGUUGGGGAUGGACUCGCGGCUUAUCAGCUUGUUGGUGGGGUAGUGGCUUACCAAGGCUUUGACGGGUAGCCGGCCUGAGAGGGUGACCGGCCACAUUGGGACUGAGAUACGGCCCAGACUCCUACGGGAGGCAGCAGUGGGGAAUAUUGCGCAAUGGGCGGAAGCCUGAUGCAGCAACGCCGCGUGCGGGAUAACGGCCUUCGGGUUGUAAACCUCUUUCGCCUGUGACGAAGCGUGAGUGACGGUAAUGGGUAAAGAAGCACCGGCUAACUACGUG
rnacentral:rRNA from 1 species